ACAGAUAAGUGCCCUGAGACAAUGAGCUAAUGCAUGCAAAUUAACUGACAUUUAUUAAAUAAAUAUUAGCUGCUACAGUUGUUACUAAUAGUAUUAUUUGCACAGUAAGGCUCAAUCAAAGGUGCAGUUGACCAAAGCGUAGUAAAAACACAGAUAGAGAGCGUUUACUUGGGUACAUACAUAGAUACAUACAUUUUUCUCCAAUUAAUCAUGUAUUGAGGAACAAUCUAUUGUGUGUCAGACACCGUGAUGGGCCGUGAGAAUGCAAAGAUUAACAAAUUAAACUAAUCUACCUGAAAGCCACAACUCUGUCUACCUUAGUUACUGCUGCAUCUCCGGAUCCUAGCAUAGAGCCUGACACACUGAAGAUACUUAGUAUUUGUU